rnacentral:rRNA from 1 species
GCAGUCGAACGAACUCUGGUAUUGAUUGGUGCUUGCAUCAUGAUUUACAUUUGAGUGAGUGGCGAACUGGUGAGUAACACGUGGGAAACCUGCCCAGAAGCGGGGGAUAACACCUGGAAACAGAUGCUAAUACCGCAUAACAACUUGGACCGCAUGGUCCGAGCUUGAAAGAUGGCUUCGGCUAUCACUUUUGGAUGGUCCCGCGGCGUAUUAGCUAGAUGGUGGGGUAACGGCUCACCAUGGCAAUGAUACGUAGCCGACCUGAGAGGGUAAUCGGCCACAUUGGGACUGAGACACGGCCCAAACUCCUACGGGAGGCAGCAGUAGGGAAUCUUCCACAAUGGACGAAAGUCUGAUGGAGCAACGCCGCGUGAGUGAAGAAGGGUUUCGGCUCGUAAAACUCUGUUGUUAAAGAAGAACAUAUCUGAGAGUAACUGUUCAGGUAUUGACGGUAUUUAACCAGAAAGCCACGGCUAACUACGUGCCAGCAGCCGCGGUAAUACGUAGGUGGCAAGCGUUGUCCGGAUUUAUUGGGCGUAAAGCGAGCGCAGGCGGUUUUUUAAGUCUGAUGUGAAAGCCUUCGGCUCAACCGAAGAAGUGCAUCGGAAACUGGGAAACUUGAGUGCAGAAGAGGACAGUGGAACUCCAUGUGUAGCGGUGAAAUGCGUAGAUAUAUGGAAGAACACCAGUGGCGAAGGCGGCUGUCUGGUCUGUAACUGACGCUGAGGCUCGAAAGUAUGGGUAGCAAACAGGAUUAGAUACCCUGGUAGUCCAUACCGUAAACGAUGAAUGCUAAGUGUUGGAGGGUUUCCGCCCUUCAGUGCUGCAGCUAACGCAUUAAGCAUUCCGCCUGGGGAGUACGGCCGCAAGGCUGAAACUCAAAGGAAUUGACGGGGGCCCGCACAAGCGGUGGAGCAUGUGGUUUAAUUCGAAGCUACGCGAAGAACCUUACCAGGUCUUGACAUACUAUGCAAAUCUAAGAGAUUAGACGUUCCCUUCGGGGACAUGGAUACAGGUGGUGCAUGGUUGUCGUCAGCUCGUGUCGUGAGAUGUUGGGUUAAGUCCCGCAACGAGCGCAACCCUUAUUAUCAGUUGCCAGCAUUAAGUUGGGCACUCUGGUGAGACUGCCGGUGACAAACCGGAGGAAGGUGGGGAUGACGUCAAAUCAUCAUGCCCCUUAUGACCUGGGCUACACACGUGCUACAAUGGAUGGUACAACGAGUUGCGAACUCGCGAGAGUAAGCUAAUCUCUUAAAGCCAUUCUCAGUUCGGAUUGUAGGCUGCAACUCGCCUACAUGAAGUCGGAAUCGCUAGUAAUCGCGGAUCAGCAUGCCGCGGUGAAUACGUUCCCGGGCCUUGUACACACCGCCCGUCACACCAUGAGAGUUUGUAACACCCAAAGUCGGUGGGGUAACCUUUUAGGAACCAGCCGCCU